CCGGUGGUGGCGGCGGCAAAUCGAGCAUCAGGGAAGGCGGUGGUGCCGGAAAGCUUUCUGGAUCUGUUAGGAAAAUACCGCUGUCUCGUUUCACUUUGGAGGGUAGGAUGGGUGAAGCACUAACAGCAGAUGACCGCCGUUCAGGUGGAGGAGGAGGCUGCAGCGAGUUCCUCUUAUUCAGCUGUUUCUGCCUCAGUGCUGGCGGUGCCAGGCCGGCUGCACUGAUAUCAUUUGCCUUAAGCAGAAGGAAUAAAAGAACAAAGUCAGUGUGCAUGUAAACUAAUGGCGCUGCCCAAGAAAGGUGAGAAGAUGGAGGAGUGCUGCGCGCACAGUGAAAGGAGGCAGAGCACAUUUUGCCUGAAGAAUGCAAAUUGUGCUUUGUUGCCUUUCCGGAGUUGCCCACAGAGCUCUGGCAGUGGGAAUCCCCGUGCUUAGAGCGCUCGCUGUGCCUCUUUGAAUGCCGUCCUCAGAAAAUGAGUGCUUUUACAUUUUUAAAGAAUUGCAGUUAGUGAGACAUAAAAAAAUACUUCCUCAGUGUUCCACACUGCUGAUCCUUCUCUGAGAACAUGAAAACCUUAAAGAAAGUUCUGUGGUGGUUUUUUUUUUUACAUCCAGGGGAAUACCAAACAAGAUCUGAGGGCAUAAAAAGCAGAUACAGCUUUAUUUCUUGUCACCACCGUAUUAUCAUAUCUGGGAUUUCAAGGCUCCUGUGUCCAGAUUCACAGUGCCCAUCCCUCCGAGCACGGUGUGACAGCACCCACCUGCGCAGCACUGCACCAAGCCCCCCUGCGCAGGACUGAGAGUGCUGCAGAGCGCUUGGGAAAGCUGCCUGCAUCAACUCUGUGCACCGCUUGGGUGAAAGACACCAGUGGGGAUCAGGCAAGGGGCCAGGGAAGGGAGGCCUCUGCCUGCUGGGCAAAACACACGCACUCCUUCCAAAAGCAGCAGCCAAACAGUCCCUGAGGCCACUGGGUUCCAGCCACGUUCACAAGGUCAAAUGCUCCAAUAACUUUUUAAAGUAAAAAAUGAAUCAAAGCAUCCAUCACACAAGUUAGGAAAAAAUGUAGGAUAGCAGUUUGUUAAGGUUAUGUUUAUUUUGGCAAAUUAUGAUGUAGAUGUUCUUUCAAAUUGUGUUUGCUAGUUAACGCUGAAGAUAAAUAAAGCCUAUUUGGCAAUAUCUGGAUAUAAUUUCCUCUCUGAUUUUUUUAGGUGGCAGUCAGUAGCUGUUGACAAUUACUAUACAAACAUGCUGUCUAUUCUCGUAAACCUGGGGAGAAGUGUGCUUCCCUGGAAACACAAGCUUUUCACCACGUUCAUAGAAUCACAGAAUUGUUUGAGCUGGAAGAGACUCCUAAAGGUCAUCGAGCCCUGCUCCCCUGUAUGAACAGGGACACCUACACUUGAUCAGGUGCUCACAGCCCUGUCCAGCCUGACUUUGAGUGUCUCCAGAGAUGGGGCAUCCAUCACCUCUCUGGGCAACCUGUGCCUUAGCACCCUUAUUGUAAAAAGCUUACUUCUGUACUCUUAGUUUGAAACCGUUUCCCCUUGCCCUGUCACAGCAGACCCUGCUAAAGAGUCUGUCCCAUUCUCUCUUACAGCCCCCUGUAGAUGCUGAAAGGCCGCUAUCAGCUCUCCCUGGAGCCUUCUCCAGGCUGCACAGCACCAGCUCUCUCAGCCUGUCCUCACAGGAGAGGUGUUCCAUCCUUCUGGAUGUGCUCCAACAGGUCCAUGUCCCUCCAGUACUGAGGACUGCAUGUCUGGAUGCAGUACUUCAGUUUUGAGGUCCAGUGAAGUUCCGCUGUUGUCAUUUCUGGAUACAAACGAACCCUUAACUGUCUGCAGUGUUCUCUUCCCCUUACUGCUCAAUGUAGCAGUGAUACAUUGUGAUGAACUGCUGCAACUCAAAGACCCCCAAAAUGCCAUGCUAGUUGUCUGCCUGAGACUGAACAUCUCUAGGACUCAGAAGAAAUUUGCUUCAUCUGCUAUAGCAGGGAUGGCUUCAGGUCUUCAGUAGCAUGGAUGGGAUGUCAUACUGCCAUCUUUUGAUUGCCAUCUCUUGAUACAUAAGGAAAAUAAAGAAAUAAGAGGCUUCCUCAUCCCUCAUUCAUGUGGUCAUUUAUAUUGCCAUAAAUUGUGAGCGC